rnacentral:rRNA from 1 species
GAUGAACGCUGGCGGCGUGCCUAAUACAUGCAAGUCGAGCGAACAGACGAGGAGCUUGCUCCUUUGACGUUAGCGGCGGACGGGUGAGUAACACGUAGGUAACCUACCUAUAAGACUGGGAUAACUUCGGGAAACCGGAGCUAAUACCGGAUAAUAUUUCGAACCGCAUGGUUCGAUAGUGAAAGAUGGCUUUGCUAUCACUUAUAGAUGGACCUGCGCCGUAUUAGCUAGUUGGUAAGGUAACGGCUUACCAAGGCAACGAUACGUAGCCGACCUGAGAGGGUGAUCGGCCACACUGGAACUGAGACACGGUCCAGACUCCUACGGGAGGCAGCAGUAGGGAAUCUUCCGCAAUGGGCGAAAGCCUGACGGAGCAACGCCGCGUGAGUGAUGAAGGUCUUCGGAUCGUAAAACUCUGUUAUUAGGGAAGGACAAACGUGUAAGUAACUGUGCACGUCUUGACGGUACCUAAUCAGAAAGCCACGGCUAACUACGUGCCAGCCGCCGCGGUAAAAC